GCGGAGGGAUCAUUACCGAGUUUACAACUCCCAAACCCAAUGUGAACGUUACCAAACUGUUGCCUCGGCGGGAUCUCUGCCCCGGGUGCGUCGCAGCCCCGGACCAAGGCGCCCGCCGGAGGACCAACCAAAACUCUUUUGUAUACCCCCUCGCGGGUUUUUAUAUCUGAGCCAUCUCGGCGCCUCUCGUAGGCGUUUCGAAAAUGAAUCAAAACUUUCAACAACGGAUCUCUUGGUUCUGGCAUCGAUGAAGAACGCAGCGAAAUGCGAUAAGUAAUGUGAAUUGCAGAAUUCAGUGAAUCAUCGAAUCUUUGAACGCACAUUGCGCCCGCCAGUAUUCUGGCGGGCAUGCCUGUCCGAGCGUCAUUUCAACCCUCGAACCCCUCCGGGGGGUCGGCGUUGGGGAUCGGCCCUUUACGGGGCCGGCCCCGAAAUACAGUGGCGGUCUCGCCGCAGCCUCUCCUGCGCAGUAGUUUGCACACUCGCAUCGGGAGCGCGGCGCGUCCAUUGCCGUAAAACACCCAACUUUCUGAAAUGUUGACCUCGGAUCAGGUAGGAAUACCCGCUGAACUUAA
rnacentral:misc_RNA from 1 species